rnacentral:rRNA from 1 species
GUGGGGAAUCUUGCACAAUGGGCGAAAGCCUGACGCAGCCAUGCCGCGUGAAUGAUGAAGGUCUUAGGAUUGUAAAAUUCUUUCACCGGGGACGAUAAUGACGGUACCCGGAGAAGAAGCUCCGGCUAACUUCGUGCCAGCAGCCGCGGUAAUACGAAGGGGGCUAGCGUUGCUCGGAAUUACUGGGCGUAAAGGGCGCGUAGGCGGACAGCUUAGUCAGAGGUGAAAGCCCAGGGCUCAACCUUGGAAUUGCCUUUGAUACUGGCUGUCUUGAGUUUGGGAGAGGUGAGUGGAACUCCGAGUGUAGAGGUGAAAUUCGUAGAUAUUCGGAAGAACACCAGUGGCGAAGGCGACUCACUGGCCCAAUACUGACGCUGAGGCGCGAAAGCGUGGGGAGCAAACAGGAUUAGAAACCCGAGUAGUCC